rnacentral:lncRNA from 1 species
AACAAUAAUCAUUCAUAUAUAUUAGAAGUUCCAUAAAAGCUUACAAAGUAUUCAACAUGGGCCAACAUAACAAAGGUUCUGCCCUCACAAAUUACAUCUAAAUAAGUUCUACUACUAGCACCAUAUGCUGCUACUAAUUUAUACAUGUACAGCCAUGUCACCUACCACAACAUCCUAGUUUUAGCCAAGUCCAUCUAACAUUCAGUUACUACUAAGUUACCAUCCACAGCCAAACAUGUUCAGAAGACAAAAGACAGCCACCAACUUAUGUUGUUCAGUGGACAAAAGUCACUUUGACAACCCAUGUGCUAUUUCUCCCAAUAGCAACCUUACCAUAUGUAUCCCAAAUCACAGAAAUCAUCGAUGUUUGAUCCAGCAUUGCUGGCCCCAUUGUUGUCGUCGAUGUCCUCUUCAUCCCUGUCCUCUUCAUCCCCUUCGUCCUCCUCAUACAUCUCUUCAUUCAUGUCCUCAUCCGUGUCCUCUCCUUCCAUGUAGCUACCAUCCAUGUCCUCUUCGUCCUCUCCAUCCAUGUCCUCACCAUCCAAGUCCUCAUCAACAUGGGAUGAACUAGUGGACAGCUGCAAAAUGAUAAUACUAUGUAAAUAUCAAUUGGAUUUUAGGAGUGAUGAACAAUAAUUAAUUGUCUUCUUUAUGAUUUCCUUUUACACCAAGACCAUAUAUGAAGCAUAUACAAGUGAAUAGUGGCCCUAACAAGAAAUAAAAUGAACUAAUAUUCCAUGAAAUUCUGUUGCUGAAAGAAUUAUUUAGACAUGUAUAAGAUUUCAAAGUCUAUUUCAUCAUCUACUAGCUAUGUCAAACCUUCAGAUUCCUGUAAGACUAAAUUAUUCCUUAGUGGAGGUGGCAAGUUUCAGUAUCUAGAAGUACAGCUUACCAUGAGGUUAAAACUAAGAUGGAAAGUUGGAAACUACAGUAACCAUCAACAUGAGGACACUCCCUCACUGCUGCACUGCGUGUUGUCAUUCUGACAUCAAAACAUAUCAGUUGUCUACUUAAAAUGGUUUAGACUAGCUGUUUUGUUUUUUCAUAAUUAAUACUGAUUUCAUAGGUACAAGUAUCAAGUUAAUGUACUUAC